rnacentral:lncRNA from 1 species
UGAGUAUCUUUACCUAUUUGUUUCUCUAAUUCUAGUGUGAAUCCCUUGAACUUUUCAAGAGUUUCAUGUUUGAGCUUUCAUCAAGUGUACAUGAUCAUUGAUGAAAUAAGAGAAACAUUAUCUGACAUAAAUUGAUACGAAUCCAUAUGCAUCACCAUGCAUUAGACCAAUAAUUAGCUGAUCUUUCUUCUUUUCAAAUAAAAGAAGAUUUGGUCAAU